AUAAUUUCAAAACAGAUUACUCGUAUAUACCUAGGAUAUGGCUAGGAGUAUCUACCAGAAACCUUAAAUUUCUGACUAUGAGUGAAUUAAUGUGUAUU
rnacentral:ncRNA from 2 species